rnacentral:rRNA from 1 species
AUUGAACGCUGGCGGCAUGCCUUACACAUGCAAGUCGAACGGGCUUUGGGGCUUGCCUCAAAGUUAGUGGCGAACGGGUGAGUAAUAUAUCGGAACGUACCCUAGAGUGGGGGAGAACUAGUCGAAAGACUGGCUAAUACCGCAUACGAUCUAAGGACGAAAGUUGGGGACCGCAAGGCCUCAUGCUCAUUGAGCGGCCGAUAUCUGAUUAGCUAGUUGGUGGGGUAAAGGCCUACCAAGGCGACGAUCAGUUGCUGGUUUGAGAGGACGAUCAGCCACACAGGGACUGAGACACGGCCCAGACUCCUACGGGAGGCAGCAGUGGGGAAUUUUGGACAAUGUGCGAAAGCCUGAUCCAGCAAUGCCGCGUGAGUGAAGAAGGCCUUAGGGCUGUAAAGCACUUUCAAUUGGAAGGAAAACCUCGAAGCUAAUACCUUCGAGUUUGACAUUACCUUUAGAAGAAGCACCGGCUAACUCCGUGCCAGCCGCCGCAGUAAUAC